rnacentral:rRNA from 1 species
UCCAGACUCCUACGGGAGGCAGCAGUGAGGAAUAUUGGUCAAUGGGCGCGAGCCUGAACCAGCCAAGUCGCGUGAGGGAUGACGGCCCUAUGGGUUGUAAACCUCUUUUGUCGGGGAGCAAAGCGAGUCACGUGUGACUCAUUGAGAGUACCCGAAGAAAAAGCAUCGGCUAACUCCGUGCCAGCAGCCGCGGUAAUACGGAGGAUGCGAGCGUUAUCCGGAUUUAUUGGGUUUAAAGGGUGCGUAGGCGGAAUGCCAAGUCAGCGGUAAAAUCGCGGGGCUCAACCUCGCUCCGCCGUUGAAACUGGCGUUCUUGAGUGGGCGAGAAGUAUGCGGAAUGCGUGGUGUAGCGGUGAAAUGCAUAGAUAUCACGCAGAACUCCGAUUGCGAAGGCAGCAUACCGGCGCCCGACUGACGCUGAGGCACGAAAGCGUGGGUAUCGAACAGGAUUAGAUACCCCUGUACAC